UGGGGAAUUUUGCGCAAUGGGCGAAAGCCUGACGCAGCAACACCGCGUGAGUGAUGAAGGCCCUUGGGUCGUAAAGCUCUGUCAGUGGGAAAGAAGUGUCGGCGGCUAAUACCUGACCGAUUUGACGGUACCCACGAAGGAAGCACCGGCUAACUCCGUGCCAGCAGCCGCGGUAAUACGGAGGGUGCAAGCGUUGUUCGGAUUUAUUGGGCGUAAAGGGCGUGUAGGCGGUUUGCUAAGUCUGAUGUGAAAGCCCUGGGCUCAACCUGGGAAGUGCAUUGGAAACUGGCAGACUUGAGUACGGGAGAGGGCAGUGGAAUUCCUAGUGUAGGAGUGAAAUCCGUAGAUAUUAGGAGGAACACCGGUGGCGAAGGCGGCUGCCUGGACCGAUACUGACGCUGAGACGCGAAAGCGUGGGGAGCAAACAGG
rnacentral:rRNA from 1 species